AAGAUACUCUCUCCGUCCGAAAAUACUUGUCAUCAAAAUGGACAAAAAGGGAUGUAUCUAGAACUAAAAUACAUCUAGAUACAUCCCUUUUUAUUCAUUUUGAUGACAAGUAUUUCCGGACGGAGGGAGUAAUAU
rnacentral:pre_miRNA from 1 species